AGCGAAGGACGGAAGGCUUUCGGACGCGGGUUCGAUUCCCGCCACCUCCACCA
rnacentral:tmRNA from 1 species